AGAUUCAUCAUCCUUUGCCUCUGACCUCUCCAUAUUAGAAAGUUUGUGGUUAUUUAAGGGACGACCGAAACUCAAUGAAUAUUUAACCUCUCUUGACAUGGAAUUGCUAAGCUCGUAAUUACAAUAGUUGAGCCUGAACAAGAAAUGACAAAUGACAGGUACGUUCGCGUCAUUCUCUGUAUAUUUUGUAUUUAUGUUAUGGUAAAUGUUCAACGCUGAUACUCUUAUUGAACCCAAAACACUUUAAAGUUCAGGGAUCACAACGAUAAGUACAUCCUGUAUGUUAUUACACAAUCGGACGCGCUUUCGCUUUUUUGGUCCUCUCAUUAUUUUUACAAAUUAUGCCAUUACAUUUUAUAUUGUUUUAUCCACAUUUCUGUAUGUAAUAAUUGGUACCCACUAAUACACAGGAAAGCACACGCACAUACACAUAGCUAACGAACUUCUCUAUAUCUUUUCCUGUGGAAAUAACGAAGGCCGUCCUUUCGCCAUUUACCCUUUUCCAAGUUAGUUGACGUCCUGACGCCGCCCGAGCGGGUCUGUCUCUGUCUUUGCCGGCGUCGGCCACUACUGUCGAGAAUCAGCGGAAAUUGUACUCAGUUCGAUAUUAUUUAUUAACAUAUUGUGAAAACUUGUGAAAACUGAAUCUAAGUGGUUGACGGAAAUUAUCAUACUGCAUUACGUGUACAGGAAGUUACACUGAAAACUCUCAGUAGUAGCAUACGCUUGUUAAGUAUUGUCGUCAAGCCCAGCCUGACUGCCAUCAUGAAAAAGGUCGAGUUUGCAGUGAUGAUAUUAAGCAUUGCUUCCCCGUCCUGGUGUCUGCCGCCGCGGAUUAACAGCACUGAGGAGGUGUUGCCAACUAGUUCGGAGAUCACUUUACGUUGCGAGGGAACGGCGCCUCUCUUUUGGUCUUACUCAGAACACGGCGUUCAGAGGAAAUGUUUGUCGUGU